CAGCGGAGCAAUGACAAUCUGGAUUGCUGCAUUUCGCUUCCAAACCGAAGCUCUCAGUUAACACACCGGCUCGGUACGCCAGCAGAUGCCGUUUAAGCCUUUAAAUCGCACACUAAUUGCACUAAUUGAGCUAACAGUCUCUGUUUCGUCUCCCUACCCUGAGUCAACCAGCGUCUUCUGGUACUGCUGUAGAGAUCCAAGCUGUUGACUGUAGUGUUAUUUUGUCAGCCAUUAAACGAUUCAUCAGAGUCAUUAAUUGAUUUAUUACUGCUGCCUGCGAGUAUAGCUUUGCAAAUAAAGAAGGAUGGAGGUCAGGAGGCAAUGGAAAUCGGACAAAACAGCACAGCCAGGGGCUGGGCACUUGAAUUAUCAGUAGAAGCCUGCUUGCGCAGGACCGCUGGCAUCAGGUUAUGGGGGAAAAACAGGGCAAAAAAAGAAAAAGAAAAGACGCACUGUUUGGCUGCACUGCCAAACCAGUUAGUUUUUUCAGCUAAAUUCUAUGUAGGAUGUAAAAGGGCUAUUAACAAUCUUGUUUUCUUAACCUAAUCCUUAGGAAGAAUCCAGGUUAUUCCACUGUAUUAAUUGCAUUUAAGAGCGGCAGGGAAGAGGCACCGGUGCGGCUGCCCCAGAGCAUCCCCGGCAUCCCCAGCCACAACACCAGCAUUUUGGUGCCACUUGUUCCAGGCUGGCUGAGCCGGGAACACAACUCAUCCCUGCUCGUCCCACAACCCUGGGAGGAGCUGCGGACCGGGGCUUUUAUUUAUUUACUUUCUUUAACGCAGAGUUUAGGUCUUUGCUAGGCGUGCAGGUUUGCCGAGCGCAGGGUGCGGCGAGCCGCUUCCUGCCCCCCGCCCUGUGGCAGGCUCGACCCGAGUGGAGCUGUGAGGCACCAUCGAGGCCAAGAGGGUUUUGGGGGCUGAGUUUAAAAACCAGAGCUGCCAACGCACAGCUGGUGGGCUGAAACUGCCUCCAGCCCCGGGGUACCCCCGAUAAUAAGAGGCAGCACCCAACAAGGGAAGGUUUGGGAAGCUGGGGAGCUUUCUGGAUGCACUGCUGCAUGACAGCCCUUGGGAUGCUGCAACAGGAUUCUUCUUCCUCAUCCCCAUUGCUGGGCAAGCCUGAGCUGCCUCCAGGAGCAUCCCCAAGGUGGGCUACGGUGCUGCACCCCGCCCUGUUAGGCUCCCAGUAAGGUGAUACCCUGCGGGGUGGCAGGGCAUCAGCCCAGCCCCAGCUCGCCACCCGCCCAAACCCGUCAUUGCCUCACCAACAGAAGCGAUGGUUUCUAUUAACUAUGAAAACCAGGUUCCCAUCGGCAGUGUUUACUCUGCUGUUAAAUGCAAGCCCGUGUCCCCACCGCACGCUCCGGGCAAGCAGCUUUGGGUUGCACAGGCAGCUGCUCAGCAGCUUUCACUAAACGUUGGGGUUUUUUUAGAAAUAAAAAUAACCUCCAAACAGUGGUGCAGAGCGCUGGCAGGCAGCAGAGAGGAUGCUCCUUCGGUGCGAAGCACCACCAGCACUGGCCACUCUGCCAGCCCCAGCCUCCACCAACCCAGCAGCGAGAUGGGGGGGUGGGGGGCAAAAUUACCUUCAUGGCACAGACCUAAAACCAAACUAAGGAUGGCUGGACAUUUGCUUUUUGGCUCAAGAUGGUUUUGCCCUUGCUCGCCUCUUGAGAAGAGUGGACCAGGAGAUUUUGGCUGCAUCUCACACCUUGCAGACACAGCAGAAGCGGCACAAGGCACUCGAGGGCAGCUGCCUCCAAGCACAGGCUUUAGAGCCUAAGGAAAAAAUCAGCGUGUGGGUCAGGACUUAAGCAGGCUGCGUAAACAGUAACCCGAUUAACACCAAGGAGGAUGGCACGCCGACCGCUUCCUCUGGACCCAGCCCUCAGAUGCUCUCCUACAUCAGUCCCCUCCACAGGUCGAUGCCAGCAUCUGUGUUGCAUCAACGUGCAUGAAAAUAAAUAAAACACCAGCCUGCUGUAGCUCAUGUGAGUGUGACUGCCAGCCCACGUACCAGCCAUGGGCAUCCACUGCAAACCCACAGUGCUCACAGAGCCCCUCGGGUGGGCUCGGGGUGGUGGUGGGGCUGUGCACCCCAGCCCGGGUACGCCCGAGACCGUCCUGCUUCCUCUGGUGCAAGCCACUUGGCUGGAUGCUCCAGGAGACAAAACAAACCGGUUUUAGCUUAUCUUGGGGUAAGAUAAGGUAAAAGGAGACCGGGAUGAAGCUUUGUUUAUCGGCAAAAGGAAGGUAUAAAAAAAACGCACCCCACGUUAAAUGGGCUUGUAGCAGUAUCACCGAGCCACCCAAACACCAUCACCGUGCUCCCGUGGGGCACAUGCUGUGCAUACAAGUUCAGAUUAAUUAUACUUCUAUGAUAGCACAAGUUUUUUGUGCUGAUUUUAAACACACCACCGGUGAGCCGCCCGGCACGGGAAGCCCCAGCACACAAAGCCCCAGCGUACACCCGGCCGGGAACAGCCAUGCUCAUCCACUUUUCUUCUCCUCCUUUGAAAAGAAAGAAACAAUCCCCAGCCCUAUAUUUUCCUUGAGCUUUAAACAU